rnacentral:lncRNA from 1 species
AAUCGUCUCCAUCUUUCAAGCUUCAUCGUUUAAUUCUAUCUGUUGACUGUUGAAAGGUAAAUUUCUGUUACAUACUUCUUUUAUUCCAUAUAUAUUGCUUUAGAUUUCAAAUAAUCUGUUGAGUGUUGACUGUUGCUUUAGUUGCUUUAGUCUGGGGCUCUGGAUAACGUGAUUUCAAAUAAGCUCCAUGUUUUCCUUUGUUGAACAUUAUACUACUAUACAAUUCUGUAUUGGUUGCAUUCUGUGGGGAUUUGGAUGUUUCUCGUGAAAACUAUGGCAUUACAUCAUAUGUGAUACGUUAUCUUUGCAUCGUAGGAGAUGGCUUAAGUUAUUUUAGACUCUGCAUAUUAGAUUCAGUGACUAAUGAGUCAAUUGGUUGGAAGUUGCUUAAUUCCAAUCUUGGUAAU